UGGCAUGAAGCACACGCCCCCGCACUCUGGCCCUUCCCAUCUGUUCACGGUGGGAAAACGACCGGCCGCUCUCCUAGAGCGAUGAAUGACAUCGGCGACUACGUGGGCUCCAACCUGGAGAUCUCCUGGCUCCCCAACCUGGACGGGCUGAUAGCCGGCUACGCCCGCAACUUCCGGCCUGGCAUUGGAGGCCCCCCCGUGAAUGUGGCCCUCGCCCUGGAGGUGGCCAGCAUCGACCACAUCUCAGAGGCCAACAUGGAGUACACCAUGACGGUGUUCCUGCACCAGAGCUGGCGGGACAGCAGGCUCUCCUACAACCACACCAACGAGACCCUGGGCCUGGACAGCCGCUUCGUGGACAAGCUCUGGCUGCCCGACACCUUCAUCGUGAACGCCAAGUCGGCCUGGUUCCACGAUGUGACGGUGGAGAACAAGCUCAUCCGGCUGCAGCCCGACGGCGUGAUCCUGUACAGCAUCCGAAUCACCUCCACUGUGGCCUGCGACAUGGACCUGGCCAAAUACCCCAUGGACGAGCAGGAGUGCAUGCUGGACCUGGAGAGCUACGGUUACUCAUCAGAGGACAUCGUCUACUACUGGUCGGAGAGCCAGGAGCACAUCCAUGGGCUGGACAAGCUGCAGCUGGCGCAGUUCACCAUCACCAGCUACCGCUUCACCACGGAGCUGAUGAACUUCAAGUCCGCCGGCCAGUUCCCACGGCUCAGCCUGCACUUCCAGCUGCGGAGGAACCGCGGCGUGUACAUCAUCCAGUCCUACAUGCCCUCUGUCCUGCUGGUCGCCAUGUCCUGGGUCUCCUUCUGGAUCAGCCAGGCGGCGGUGCCCGCCAGGGUGUCUCUAGGCAUCACCACGGUGCUGACGAUGACCACGCUCAUGGUCAGUGCCCGCUCCUCCCUGCCGCGGGCGUCAGCCAUCAAGGCACUGGACGUCUACUUCUGGAUCUGCUAUGUCUUCGUGUUUGCCGCCCUGGUGGAGUACGCCUUUGCGCAUUUCAACGCCGACUACAGGAAGAAGCAGAAAGCCAAGGUCAAGGUCUCCAGGCCGAGGGCAGAGAUGGACGUGAGGAAUGCCAUUGUCCUCUUCUCCCUCUCUGCUGCCGGCGUCACGCAGGAGCUGGCCAUCUCCCGCCGGCAGCGCCGCGUCCCGGGGAACCUGAU
rnacentral:sRNA from 1 species